ensembl:snRNA U6 U6 spliceosomal RNA
GAACUCACUUCAGCAGUACACACACUAAACUUGAAACAGUACAGAGAAGACUGCAUGGCCCCUGCCAAAGGAUGCCACAAAAAUAUGAACUUGCCAUACUGGAU